GGGAACGUGAAAGGACGACCUUCGGGAGGCCUAUACAGGUGUUGCAUGGCUGUCGUCAGCUCGUGUCGUGAGAUGUUCGGUUAGGUCCGCUAACGAGCGCAACCCUCGUCGUAUGUUAUAUGUGUCAUACGAGACUGCCGGUAAAAAGCCGGAGGAAGGUGAGGAUGAUGUCAAGUCAGCAUGACCUUUAUAUCCAGGGCUACACACACGCUACAAUGGUCUGUACAAUGGGUAGCCAAGCCGCGAGGCGGAGCCAAUCCUGAAAGCAGGCCUCAGUUCAGAUUGCAGUCUGCAACUCGACUGCAUGAAGCCGGAGUUGCUAGUAACCGCAGGUCAGCAAUACUGCGGUGAAUACGUUCCCGGGUCUU
rnacentral:rRNA from 1 species